rnacentral:rRNA from 1 species
AUUGAACGCUGGCGGCAUGCCUUACACAUGCAAGUCGAACGGCAGCGGACCUUCGGGUGCCGGCGAGUGGCGAACGGGUGAGUAAUAUAUCGGAACGUACCUUUCAGUGGGGGAUAACGUAGCGAAAGUUACGCUAAUACCGCAUAUUCUGUGAGCAGGAAAGCAGGGGAUCGCAAGACCUUGCGCUGAUUGAGCGGCCGAUAUCAGAUUAGCUAGUUGGUGAGGUAAAGGCUCACCAAGGCGACGAUCUGUAGCGGGUCUGAGAGGAUGAUCCGCCACACUGGAACUGAGACACGGUCCAGACUCCUACGGGAGGCAGCAGUGGGGAAUUUUGGACAAUGGGCGCAAGCCUGAUCCAGCCAUGCCGCGUGAGUGAAGAAGGGCCU